rnacentral:rRNA from 1 species
CCUGGUUGAUCCUGCCAGUAGUCAUAUGCUUGUCUCAAAGACUAAGCCAUGCAUGUCUAAGUAUAAACACUUUUAUACACGUGAAACUGCGAAUGGCUCAUUAAAACAGUUAUAGUUCCUUUGAGAACACUACUACUUGGAUAACCGUAGUAAUUCUAGAGCUAAUACAUGCCUAAACGCCCGACUAACAGAAGGGUGGUAUUUAUUGGAUAAAAAACCAUCGUGCUCUUUCCGGAGCGCCUUGAGAUGAUUCACAAUAACUUGUCGGAUCGCAUGGCCUCGUGCUGGCGACUCCUCAUUCAAAUUUCUGCCCUAUCAACUUUCGAUGGUAGAGUAUUGGUCUACCAUGGUGUCGACGGGUGACGGGGAAUUAGGGUUCGAUUCCGGAGAGGGAGCCUGAGAAACGGCUACCACAUCCAAGGAAGGCAGCAGGCGCGCAAAUUACCCAAUCCCGAUUCGGGGAGGUAGUGACAAAAAAUAACAAUAGGGGGCCCUUUGGGUCCUCUAAUUGGAAUGAGAACAAUUUAAACCCCUUAUCGAGGAUCCAUUGGAGGGCAAGUCUGGUGAACGCGUCUAGGUACGGCAUGGGUUUUUCUCCCCUUUUGCUACACCACCACCGCCCUCGUUAAACAAAAAAUCACGCCAGAUGUCGGCACGACCACAAGUAGGGGGGGCUCUGCUGCCCCGCGUGUGCGUGCACGGCAAAAGAUAGGGUAUUGAGUUCCUAUCAUACACUUCGAAAUUGACGGGAAAGACCUUGUGUGAGUGGCAUGCGGAAGGUGCCUUGCUCAGAAAGCACACUCUUUGGCUACCGCGGUCCGCCGAGAGGUGAGAACGAGCAAUCGUUCAGGACGCAGCAGUGCAUGUAACGGUGUACGGAUGGUAAAAACGCCAAAGAAGGGAAAGGGUUAAUCCGCAGGGAAGCGUGAUUGGCAGAUCUUCUCGUAGAUGCCAAAGACGAACCUUCAGAGACUGUAAUGAAGUGGGCGCAAGCUUAAGGGACAGUCCAAUCCACUGGGAGACCAGGUCCACAGGAGUAUCGGGACAGAACUCAACCCGUAGGACUGUGGAGGGCGUAGCAAAGCGUUCGCACUUGUGCGAACGCCUCACGUCGGGUAUCAAUGGCCAGCAGCCGCGGUAAUUCCAGCUCCAAUAGCGUAUAUUAAAGUUGUUGCAGUUAAAACGCUCGUAGUCGGACUUCGGAGCACUCGCACGGGCCGGGCUUCCAGUCUAUGUGCCAGUGGGGGUUUGUCUCCUUUUGUCGGGACGCGGUGUGUGGGAACUUCACUGUUUCCGCGCGUUUACCUGCGGGCCGGCCGUUUACUGUGAAGAAAGUAAAGUGUUCAAAGCAGGCCAAUGCCUUGAAUAUGUGAGCAUGGAAUAAUAGAAUAGGACUUGGGCUCUAUUUUGUUGGUUUCCAGUGACCAAGUAAUGAUUAAUAGGGACGGUUGGGGGCAUUCGUAUUUCAUUGUCAGAGGUGAAAUUCUUGGAUUGAUGGAAGACGUACAACUGCGAAAGCAUCUGCCAUGGAUGUUUUCAUUGAUCAAGAACGAAAGUUAGGGGAUCGAAGACGAUCAGAUACCGUCGUAGUCUUAACCAUAAACGAUGCCGACUGGGGAUUGGCGGGGGCACUAGUAAAUGACCACGUCAGCACCCUGUGGGAAACCAAAGUCUUUGGGUUCUGGGGGGAGUAUGGUCGCAAGGCUGAAACUUAAAGGAAUUGACGGAAGGGCACCACCAGGAGUGGAGCCUGCGGCUUAAUUUGACUCAACACGGGAAAACUUACCAGGUCCGGACAGAAGUAUGAUUGACAGACUGAAAGCUCUUUCUUGAUUUUUUGGUUGGUGGUGCAUGGCCGUUCUUAGUUGGUGGAGUGAUUUGUCUGGUUAAUUCCGUUAACGAACGAGACCUCGUCCUGCUAAAUAGAUGCGCGCAUGCUAGCACUGUGCUCGAUCUUCUUAGAGGGACUGUGCGCGUCUAGCGUACGGAAGAUUGAGGCAAUAACAGGUCUGUGAUGCCCUUAGAUGUUCUGGGCCGCACGCGCGCUACACUGAUGCAUUCAACGAGUUUCACUUGAUCGUCCUGGAUCGGAAGCCCCGGGUAAUCUUUUGAAAUAGCAUCGUGCUGGGGAUAGAUCAUUGCAAUUAUUGAUCUUGAACGAGGAAUUCCUUGUAGGCGCAGGUCAUCACCCUGCGCCGAAUACGUCCCUGCCCUUUGUACACACCGCCCGUCGCUCCUACCGAUUGAAUGGUCCGAUGAAAUGUCCGGAUUGCGGCUGCUGUGAUGGACUUGUCCAGAGCGGUAGCCAUGAGAAGCUCAUUAAAUCUUAUCAUUUAGAGGAAGGAGAAGUCGUAACAAGGUUUCCGUAU